CGAACGGGUGAGUAACGCGUGAGGAACCUGCCUCAAAGAGGGGGACAACAGUUGGAAACGACUGCUAAUACCGCAUAAGCCCACGGGUCGGCAUCGACCUGAGGGAAAAGGAGCAAUCCGCUUUGAGAUGGCCUCGCGUCCGAUUAGCUAGUUGGCGAGGUAAUGGCCCACCAAGGCGACGAUCGGUAGCCGGACUGAGAGGUUGAACGGCCACAUUGGGACUGAGACACGGCCCAG
rnacentral:rRNA from 1 species